UACGAAGGGGGCUAGCGUUGCUCGGAAUUACUGGGCGUAAAGGGAGCGUAGGCGGAUAGUUCAGUCAGAGGUGAAAGCCCAGGGCUCAACCUUGGAAUUGCCUUUGAUACUGGCUGUCUUGAGUAUGGGAGAGGUUAGCGGAACUCCGAGUGUAGAGGUGAAAUUCGUAGAUAUUCGGAAGAACACCAGUGGCGAAGGCGGCUAACUGGCCCAUUACUGACGCUGAGGCUCGAAAGCGUGGGGAGCAA
rnacentral:rRNA from 1 species